CCUACGGGGGGCAGCAGUAGGGAAUAUUGCUCAAUGGGGGAAACCCUGAAGCAGCAACGCCGCGUGGAGGAUGAAGGUUUUCGGAUUGUAAACUCCUUUUGUUAGAGAAGAUAAUGACGGUAUCUAACGAAUAAGCACCGGCUAACUCCAUGCCAGCAGCCGCGGUAAUACGGCGGGUGCAAGCGUUAAUCGGAAGCACUGGGCGUAAAGAGCGCGUCGGCGGGAUAGCAAGUCAGAUGUGAAAUCCUAGGGCUUAACCAUAGAACUGCAUUUGAAACUGUUAUUCUAGAGUAUGGGAGAGGUAGGUGGAAUUCGUGGUGUAGCGGUGAAAUCCUUAGAGAUCAAGAGGAAGACUCAUUGCGAAGGCGACCUGCUAGAACAUAACUGACGCUGAUGCGCGAAGGCGUGGGGAUCAAACAGGAUUAGAUACCCUUGUAGUC
rnacentral:rRNA from 1 species